ensembl:lncRNA
UUCCUGUCUUUGUGUUUUGCACCAGAUAGGGCUGGUUUGAGUUCUCACGUUUAUUGUUUUCGUUAGUUUAUUCAUGUAUAGCGUCUUCAUUAAAGAAAUAUUAAUAACCACCACGCUGCGUUUUGGUCCUCCUCUCCUUCACCACAAGAGAACCGUGACACUUUGACAAUGAACCAAAACACACCUCCAGGCUGUGUAAGGGCUAUUUGACAAAGAAGGAGAGUGAUGGAGUGCUGCAUUAGAUGAACUGGCCUCCACAGUCACCUAACCUCCCACCCAAUUGAGAUGGUUUAGGAUGAUUUGGACUGCAGAGUGAAGGAAAAGCAGCCAACAAGUGUCCAUCAGGGUUGGCGUCAAUUCAAGAAGAAGAGAUGGCCUGCAAUCCCCAGCAGAGCCAGAGGCUGUGGUUCUUCUCGCGCUCCCUGGACUCAGUCUUUGACUUUGGCAGUCUGACCAUCUCCAGGGCCAACGACAACCACUCCCUCUCCACAGAGAAGACCAGUGUCUCUACAGCCUUGGUCCAGGGGUGUGGCUCGAUGGCCCUGCCUGACUUGGUCACCUCCUACCAGAUGGAGCACACAGAGGGACCAGGGCAGCCAGGGGAGAGGGAAGCAGGCCCACCAGGAGACCUCAAACAGGACAGCAGUCAGAGCCCCCAGGAACAGUGAAGGGGAGCCGGAGGCUGCCUCUUGUCUGUGCUAUUACCACGUGUUCCGGGAGGGCGAGCUGGCGGAGCUGAUCAAGAGCCACGUCGAAGAGCUCCGCGUCCUUUCCUCCUGCUUCGACCAUGCCAACUGGUGCGUGGUGGCCGAGAAGGUCCAGGUUUGGAAGAUAUGACUUGGUUUUAAUAAGUUUGAUUUGUAUUUUUUUAUAAUUUAUUCAUUUUGCACCUCAAAUGUGCAACACUUUUUAAAAGAUAUUUUGAAUGUACUGUUCACAUUCUUACUGUGUUUUAAGAGUUACUGUGUUUCGCAAAUUUAAUAGCACCUAAUAAGCAGUAUCCAGAGGGCCAGGAUACUGCGUCCCAAAUGGCACCCAAAUGACUGCGUCCCAAAUGGCACUCUAUUCCCAAGACUUCUAUCCUCAGUUCCAAUGCUGCUAUCGUUGGACCACCAAUAACAAUCAAUGAAACAUGUCUGCCAAGGAUCUGCCUCAUUUCAGUUUUCCCCUCCAAACUUUUGCUCUUCUGUUUUUAGCCACAACCCUUGAGACCAUUAGUGGUGGAAUUCAGGCUGUAUUUGUCUUCAAAUGUUCCACAAUAUACAAGGGGAAUCAACCUUGCAGCAACGUUCUGUGAUGUGUUGGUAUCCCUUUCUAUGGACCACCUGUGUAUAAUGGGUCAUGUUCUAAGGAGCCAUGUGCUGUUAUUAAGAAUUCUUAAGGCAAGUGCUAUAUAAUUUCAAUACUGUCUGUGUGAUUUGUGUUAAUAUUUUGUCCAGCUGAACUAAUAAUUUUUUGGUCAAAUGAACAGACACAUCCUAGAUGAUACUGUGAAAUGUUGCAUUGUAUGUAUGUUGCUGCUUGCUGAAUGUCAGUGGUUCGCACAUGAAUAGCUCUUGGGAAAACUUGAAACAUGUCUGUAGUCAGUGAACCAGGGAGGUUGCCUGUCAGUGCAGUGCAACUGUUCUAGACCCACUUCUAUGUUACUGGUAAAGAGAUGGAUAUCACCCUAGCAUACAUAAAAUGUAAGGUUUACUUUUUAAAAGUGAACAUUUUUAAGUAUAAUUUGUUCGUGUAUGAUUUUGUUUACCC